GAGAGCUGGCCGGCGCCGACCCGGCCUGGGGCAGCGGCCGCAGCUCCCCGCCCGGGACCGCGCAAAAAGGCCCAAGGUCCCGGGCCGCACUCACCGAAGUCCAGGAACUGCUUCAUGGAGAGCGGGGACGGCGAGAAGCGCGCGUAGAAGUCCACCUGGCCCGGAACGCCGCGCUCGGACGCCGGGCUGGAGCCCGAGUCCGAGCUGAAGCUGCGGCUGAAGCCGGCGGCGCGCAGCCCCGGGCCCGGGCCGGCCAAGGCGGCUCCGCGAAGCAGCCGCGCCAGCCUCAUGCCGAGUCCCGCUAGAGAAGCCACAGCCAGUACGCCAGGUUUCCCCGCGCCUCUGCCGAGUGGGUUGAAGGCAAAUACUUGAAGUUGCAAUCGAAGGUCAAGAAAAUGGAAUCAAGAGGUCACAAUCCUUCUCUGAUGAUGGCUUAGAAAGCUGGAAGACACUCAACAUUGAAUCCUGGGGCUCUGUGCCAUGCUUGCUAGGAGAAACAGCCACCAUGAGUCCAUCUUUCAGAUCUCAAGUGAACAGUCAUUCUCCAGCUGGGAUUGAGAACAAGGGGAAGCUGGCCAUAGAGCCAGGUGACCAAAGAUGGAAGACAAAGGGUGGGCUGUGAUUCCCAGAGCUCCAAGCCUUGUUCUGUCUUGUCACACCAACUGUUACUGAUGAACAGGUUUACAAUCUUUGAGGCCUGGCUGACUCAUGGAACAACUAGGACAAGAAACAAAGACAAAGAACACACACCUGACUGGACAGAGAUAAACCAAGAGCUGAGAGUUUUGGAAACAAGGCUGGAGCUGAGGAAAAGGACUGGGAACACGAACCUGUACAAACAACAAAUUCUUACAACAGAAAACAAGCCACUCCUGGCCAUCAAGAAACCCACAAAUCUCAGAAGCAAAAGCAAAACAAAUGAAAAUACAAACCAAAUAGUCUCUAUUACCUUCAUGCCUGUUGGGUCCCAAUAAAGGAAUCAUUCCAAUAAAGGAUUCAACAUAUUUUUUUUAAACCAAUAUCAU
rnacentral:lncRNA from 1 species